rnacentral:rRNA from 1 species
UACGUAGGGUGCAAGCGUUAAUCGGAAUUACUGGGCGUAAAGCGUGCGCAGGCGGCUUCUCAAGUCAGGGGUGAAAGCCCAGAGCUCAACUCUGGAAUUGCCUUUGAGACUGAGUGGCUUGAGUACGAGAGAGGUGAGUGGAAUUCCCAGUGUAGAGGUGAAAUUCGUAGAUAUUGGGAAGAACACCGGUGGCGAAGGCGGCUCACUGGCCCGGUACUGACGCUGAGGUGCGAAAGCGUGGGGAGCAAACAGG